rnacentral:tmRNA from 1 species
GGGCCAGUCAAGGUUUCGACAGGGGUCUUGCAGCUGGAGAAGCUAUCCGACAGCGAAUCGUNAAAUCGCAAAACUAAAUAUAAACGCUGAAGAUAAUUUAGCAUACGCUGCCUAAUGGCAGCUGUCCGCCUUAGUGCACCUGCACAUUAAGAAUCGGGCAUCGACUAUGCAGGAAACGGCACCGGCAAAGCUUUGAGCCUGUGGACGUAUUAUGAAGCUACUAAACGUAUUGGGGCGUCCGCCUCCUGAUACGGGAGGGAAUGAGGAGUAUUCCAUAAUGGCAGACUAUGAUAGUAGAAGGACAGGGAAUGGGCUUUUGGACACGGGUUCGACUCCCGUCUGGUCCACUG